rnacentral:misc_RNA from 1 species
UCACCCCUCAAGCCCCCGGCUUGGUGUUGGAUGGUUUGGUGACAGUGCCUGUUGGGCAACGGUCACCCCUCCCAAAGACAAUGACGGCGGCCUCGUUGGACCCCCGGUACACUGAGUUCCUUACCGAACACGUACUGGAUCAAGGGCCCACGGAGCACGGUCUGCCUCCCCUCAGGGAGAACUAUUUUCUCAA